rnacentral:rRNA from 1 species
GGGGAAUAUUGGACAAUGGGCGAAAGCCUGAUCCAGCAAUGCCGCGUGAGUGAAGAAGGCCUUAGGGUCGUAAAGCUCUUUUACCCGGGAUGAUAAUGACAGUACCGGGAGAAUAAGCUCCGGCUAACUCCGUGCCAGCAGCCGCGGUAAUACGGAGGGAGCUAGCGUUGUUCGGAAUCACUGGGCGUAAAGCGCACGUAGGCGGCUUUGUAAGUUAGAGGUGAAAGCCCGGGGCUCAACUCCGGAACUGCCUUUAAGACUGCAUCGCUUGAAUCUGGGAGAGGUAAGUGGAAUUCCGAGUGUAGAGGUGAAAUUCGUAGAUAUUCGGAAGAACACCAGUGGCGAAGGCGGCUUACUGGACCAGAAUUGACGCUGAGGUGCGAAAGCGUGGGGAGCAAAC